ACCCGGGUGGCUCAGUGCUUAAGCAUCUGACUUCGGCUCAGGUCAUGAUCUCAUGGUUUGUGAGUUCGAGUCCCACAUCAGGUG
rnacentral:tRNA from 1 species